rnacentral:rRNA from 1 species
UCGAGGAUCUUCGGCAAUGGGGGCAACCCUGACCGAGCGAUGCCGCGUGGGCGACGAAGGCCUUCGGGUUGUAAAGCCCUGUCGAGGGGGAGAAAGCCGCAAGGCGGAUCCAUCCCUGGAGGAAGCUCGGGCUAAGUUCGUGCCAGCAGCCGCGGUAAGACGAACCGAGCGAACGUUGUUCGGAAUCACUGGGCUUAAAGGGCGCGUAGGCGGGCUGCCGCGUCCGGGGUGAAAUCCCACGGCUCAACCGUGGAACGGCCCCGGGUACGGGCGGCCUCGAGGGGGGUAGGGGCGUGCGGAACUGUGGGUGGAGCGGUGAAAUGCGUUGAGAUCCACAGGAACUCCGGUGGCGAAGGCGGCACGCUGGACCCCCACUGACGCUGAGGCGCGAAAGCCAGGGGAGCGAACGG